CGACGAGUGGCGAACGGGUGAGUAAUACAUCGGAACGUGUCCGCUCGUGGGGGACAACCAGCCGAAAGGUUGGCUAAUACCGCAUGAGUUCUACGGAAGAAAGAGGGGGACCCGCAAGGGCCUCUCGCGAGCGGAGCGGCCGAUGACUGAUUAGCCGGUUGGUGAGGUAACGGCUCACCAAAGCAACGAUCAGUAGCUGGUCUGAGAGGACGACCAGCCACACUGGGACUGAGACACGGCCCAGACUCCUACGGGAGGCAGCAGUGGGGAAUUUUGGACAAUGGGCGCAAGCCUGAUCCAGCUAUUCCGCGUGUGGGAUGAAGGCCCUCGGGUUGUAAACCACUUUUGUAGAGAACGAAAAGACACCUUCGAAUAAAGGGUGUUGCUGACGGUACUCUAAGAAUAAGCACCGGCUAACUACGUGCCAGCAGCCGCGGUAAUACGUAGGGUGCGAGCGUUAAUCGGAAUUACUGGGCGUAAAGGGUGCGCAGGCGGUUGAGUAAGACAGAUGUGAAAUCCCCGAGCUUAACUCGGGAAUGGCAUAUGUGACUGCUCGACUAGAGUGUGUCAGAGGGAGGUGGAAUUCCACGUGUAGCAGUGAAAUGCGUAGAUAUGUGGAAGAACACCGAUGGCGAAGGCAGCCUCCUGGGACAUAACUGACGCUCAGGCACGAAAGCGUGGGGAGCAAACAGGAUUAGAUACCCUGGUAGUCCACGCCCUAAACGAUGUUAACUAGUUGUUGGGAUGUAACAAUCUCAGUAACGCAGCCAACGCGAGAAGUUAACCGCCUGGGAAGUACGGUCGCAAGACUAAAACUCAAAGGAAUUGACGGGGACCCGCACAA
rnacentral:rRNA from 1 species